rnacentral:sRNA from 1 species
GGUAGAGAGGGCGCAAUGGAGGAAAGAAAGAUAUAAAAACAAUGAGAGAGGCGAUGACAGGGAAGUGUUAUCGAGCAGACGACAAUGAUGAUGAAUGGCAUGAAAAACGCACAUUUUUUUGUUCCCUCUUUCUCUCCUCCAUCUGUGUUUACGUAAUUGGGAGGCUACCGAGGGGAGAGGGGGGAGAAAGAUAUCCCAGAAACGAAAACAAAAAAUGGUUAUGAUUCUACGCUAUGUCCAUUGGCUUCAGCUAAUAAGCUGGGGUGUUAGGGUGGCAUCAUUGUCCAGUUUCUUAUGUGUGUGUGAGAGAGAGUGUGUGUGUGUGUGUGUGCGAGAGAGUGUGUGUGUAAAUAAGUAUGUGUGUGUGUUGGUGAUGUAUUCGUAGUGUGGGAUAUCUCCUCUCUCUUUCUCACAACGUUUUAGUUUGUUAUGAGUCAAACAAAAAAAACCCCUUCCACCUAAAAAUGUGACAUUCUUUCCGCUCGUCGUGUCUUGGCUCGGAUCUUUACGACCUUAUUAUGGGCGCAGAAUAUGGAAAGGCAAAGGUUAACCAUAUUUCCCUCAUCCGAUAACACACAAAUAAUGACCUACGGUCACUUUUUUUUCCUGUGCCAACUUCUUCUGUAGCUGUAGCUUUCUUAUUAGCAGCUUUUCACCACGAUACAGUACUGAUUAAGUGUUAAUAGAUAAGUCCCAUUGAUCCACACACAUAUACACAAACAUAAACACAUACAUAUUAAAACACACACAUACAUUUUACUUCUAAGCAAGCUCAGUGAUGGUAUCGCACAGCUUCUUGAAGCUUUUAGAGACAUAAAUAGAUCGAUACCACUUUAAAAUCAUACACUUUAAAAAAAAAAGAAUCGAUUACACAAUUACUUUUUAAGUAGGCUUGACUUAAGAUAUGAGUGUGUUCGAUUAGUAGUUGACACAACUGUCAUGGUGAUGGUUUAGCAGCAGACAUUCUAGGACUCUCGGAGAACAGCUAUAUAUGAGUCACGGUGGAGGAGUGAAUGCCUUGUGAAUUAUCAAAUUAAUGGAUUGGGUUCGAGUGUGGUUGAACAAAACUAAAUGAGACCUAGUCCAAAUAUAUUUAGUAUUACCUACGGUUUUCUAUUGGAUUUCGUUGUAGAUUUGAGAUUGAAAAAUGUUUAGUUCUUAAUGAAAGCUUAGUCAAGCUAAUCGCAACUUAGCAUGAGACUCGAUCAACACAAGGGAUAGGCCUAGACGCAAUAUGUGUUGUUUUGGAGGGAUGUAUGUAAGAUAAGAAGGAAGGAUAAAGGGGUAGCAAUGAACUAUAAAGAGGUAGCAAUGAAGGAUAAGGAGGUAGCAAUGAAAUAUAAAGAGGUAGCAAUGAAUGAUAAGGAGGUAGCAAUGAAGAUAAGGAGGUAGCAAUGAAAUAUAAAGAGGUAACAAUGAAGGAUAAGGAUGUAGCAAUGGAGGAUAAGGAGGUAGCAAUGAAAUAUAAAGAGGUAGCAAUGAAGGAUAAGGAGGUAGCAAUGAAAUAGAAAGAGGUAGCAAUGAAGGAUAAUGAGUUAGCAAUGAAGGAUAAGGGUGUAGCAAUGAAAUAUAAAGAGGUAGCAAUGAAAUAUAAAGAGGUAGCAAUGAAAUAUAAAGAGGUAGCAAUGAAGGCUAAGGAGGUAGCAAUGAAAUACAAAGAGGUAGCAAUGAAGGAUAAGGAGGUAGCAAUGAAGGAUAAGGAGGUAGCAAUGAAAUAUAAAGAGGUAGCAAUGAAGGAUAAGGAGGUAGCAAUGAAAUAGAAAGAGGUAGCAAUGAAGGAUAAUGAGUUAGCAAUGAAGGAUAAGGGGGUAGCAAUGAAAUAUAAAGAGGUAGCAAUGAAAUAUAAAGAGGUAGCAAUGAAGGAUAAGGAAGUAGCAAUGAGGCUGGUCCCACAUACAUAAACGUGGGUUAUAGACGCAUACGCUGAUCGACUAAUUAUUGUUUCCAUUUCCUAGCCCACUACUCAUGUCUCUCUUGCUGGGCAGAAAACGUUACCAACAUGCGUAGCAUGACAUGAACAGGCAGAGAACGGGAAGAAGAAAAAAAAACUCCUAAGCGAGGAGCCUCCGAGUGACAGUGAUCCGAGUGUUCCAAUGACAGCGACUUGCGCCAGUCACAAGGGCAAUUACCCAAUUAGCUGCCCAUUAAAGUUGCCCCACUC